rnacentral:rRNA from 1 species
UAACGGCCCACCAAGGCGACGAUGUCUAGGGACAUGAGAGGGUGAUCCCCCACACUGGCACUGAGAUACGGGCCAGACUCCUACGGGAGGCAGCAGUAGGGAAUAUUGGGCAAUGGGCGAGAGCCUGACCCAGCCAUGCCGCGUGCCGGAUGAAGGCCUUCUGGGUUGUAAACGGCUUUUCUCAGGGAAGAAAAAGACCAUGCGUGGUACACUGACGGUACCUGAGGAAUAAGCACCGGCUAACUCCGUGCCAGCAGCCGCGGUAAUACGGAGGGUGCAAGCGUUGUCCGGAUUUAUUGGGUUUAAAGGGUGCGUAGGUGGCCUUGUAAGUCCGUGGUGAAAGCCUCUCGCUUAACGAGAGAACUGCCAUGGAUACUGCAAGGCUUGAGUCCAGACGAGGUUGGCGGAAUGGAUGGUGUAGCGGUGAAAUGCAUAGAUACCAUCCAGAACCCCGAUUGCGUAGGCAGCUGACUAGGCUGGUACUGACACUGAGGCACGAAAGCGUGGGGAGCGAACAGGAUUAGAUACCCUGGUAGUCCACGCCGUAAACGAUGGAUACUCGUUGCUAGCGAUAUACAGUUAGUGACUUAGCGAAAGCGUUAAGUAUCCCACCUGGGGAGU